AGCGAACGCUGGCGGCAGGCUUAACACAUGCAAGUCGAGCGGGCACUUUCGGGUGUCAGCGGCGGACGGGUGAGUAACGCGUGGGAACGUGCCCUCUGGUUCGGAAUAACUCAGGGAAACUUGAGCUAAUACCGGAUACGCCUUUUUGGGGAAAGGCUUGCUGCCGGAGGAUCGGCCCGCGUCUGAUUAGCUAGUUGGUGAGGUAACGGCUCACCAAGGCGACGAUCAGUAGCUGGUCUGAGAGGAUGAUCAGCCACACUGGGACUGAGACACGGCCCAGACUCCUACGGGAGGCAGCAGUGGGGAAUAUUGGACAAUGGGCGCAAGCCUGAUCCAGCCAUGCCGCGUGAGUGAUGAAGGCCUUAGGGUUGUAAAGCUCUUUUAUCCGGGACGAUAAUGACGGUACCGGAGGAAUAAGCCCCGGCUAACUUCGUG
rnacentral:rRNA from 1 species